rnacentral:rRNA from 1 species
AACGAACGCUGGCGGCGUGGAUAAGACAUGCAAGUCGAGCGGGAACUUUUUUGGUAGCAAUACCGAAAAAGUUCUAGCGGCGAACGGGUGCGUAACACGUGGACAAUCUGCCUUAAAGUGGGGGAUAGCUCGGCGAAAGCCGAAUUAAUACCGCAUGUGAUGAGAGACGACAUCGUCUUGAAAUCAAAGCCGGGGCAACCUGGCGCUUUUUGAGGAGUCCGCGGCCUAUCAGCUUGUUGGUGAGGUAACGGCUCACCAAGGCUAUGACGGGUAGCUGGUCUGAGAGGACGACCAGUCACACUGGAACUGAGACACGGUCCAGA